GGGCUGCACGCAUGCUACAAUGGCAAGUACAACGAGUCGCAAUACCGCGAGGUGGAGCAAAUCUCUUAAAGCUUGUCUCAGUUCGGAUAGGAGUCUGCAACUCGACUCCUUGAAGUUGGAGUCGCUAGUAAUCGCAAAUCAGCAAAGUUGCGGUGAAUACGUUCUCGGGGUUUGUACACACCGCCCGUCAAGUCACGGAAGUCGGCAAUACCCGAAGCCAGUGGUCCAACCCUUUUGGGAGGAAGCUGUCGAAGGUAGGGUUGGUAACUGGGACUAAGUCGUAACAAGGUAGCCGUACGGGAACGUGCGGCUGGAUCACCUCCUUUCUAAGGAGCAUAGAACAUUUAGUUCUAAGGUUAAUCACCGGUUGUCUACAAGACUGAUACAUUACUCAGCUGUGAAAAAGUCAUUCGGCUUUUUGAAAAUUGUAUAGCAAGCGCAAUUGCAAAGUAUUCAUAUAGUUCAAGCUACUAAGGGCUAUUGGUGGAUGCCUUGGCGCUGGAAGCCGAUGAAGGACGUGGAAGGCUGCGAUAAGCCACGG
rnacentral:sRNA from 1 species